rnacentral:piRNA from 1 species
UCCAUAGUUAGGGAUGAGAGCCUCAAAAU